rnacentral:rRNA from 1 species
UGGGGAAUAUUGGACAAUGGGCGCAAGCCUGAUCCAGCCAUACCGCGUGGGUGAAGAAGGCCUUCGGGUUGUAAAGCCCUUUUGUUGGGAAAGAAAACUUGCGGGCUAAUACCCGGCAAGUCUGACGGUACCCAAAGAAUAAGCACCGGCUAACUUCGUGCCAGCAGCCGCGGUAAUACGAAGGGUGCAAGCGUUACUCGGAAUUACUGGGCGUAAAGCGUGCGUAGGUGGUCGUUUAAGUCUGUUGUGAAAGCCCUGGGCUCAACCUGGGAACUGCAGUGGAAACUGGACGACUAGAGUGUGGUAGAGGGUAGCGGAAUUCCCGGUGUAGCAGUGAAAUGCGUAGAGAUCGGGAGGAACAUCCAUGGCGAAGGCAGCUACCUGGACCAACACUGACACUGAGGCACGAAAGCGUGGGGAGCAAACAGG